GACGAACGCUGGCGGCGUGCUUAACACAUGCAAGUCGAACGGAAAGGCCCUGCUUUUGUGGGGUGCUCGAGUGGCGAACGGGUGAGUAACACGUGAGUAACCUGCCCUUGACUUUGGGAUAACUUCAGGAAACUGGGGCUAAUACCGGAUAGGAGCUCCUGCUGCAUGGUGGGGGUUGGAAAGUUUCGGCGGUUGGGGAUGGACUCGCGGCUUAUCAGCUUGUUGGUGGGGUAGUGGCUUACCAAGGCUUUGACGGGUAGCCGGCCUGAGAGGGUGAUCGGCCACAUUGGGACUGAGAUACGGCCCAGACUCCUACGGGAGGCAGCAGUGGGGAAUAUUGCACAAUGGGCGGAAGCCUGAUGCAGCAACGCCGCGUGCGGGAUGGCGGCCUUCGGGUUGUAAACCGCUUUCGCCUGUGACGAAGCGUGAGUGACGGUAAUGGGUAAAGAAGCACCGGCUAACUACGUG
rnacentral:rRNA from 1 species